AUUGAACGCUGGCGGAAUGCUUUACACAUGCAAGUCGAACGGCAGCACGGACUUCGGUCUGGUGGCGAGUGGCGAACGGGUGAGUAACAUAUCGGAACGUAUCCAAUAAUGGGGGAUAACUAAUCGAAAGGUUGGCUAAUACCGCAUACGCCCUACGGGGGAAAGCUAGGGAUCUUCGGACCUGGCGUUAAUGGAGCGGCCGAUAUCUGAUUAGCUAGUUGGUGGGGUAAAGGCCCACCAAGGCGACGAUCAGUAGCUGGUCUGAGAGGACGACCAGCCACACUGGAACUGAGACACGGUCCAGACUCCUACGGGAGGCAGCAGUGGGGAAUUUUGGACAAUGGGCGCAAGCCUGAUCCAGCCAUUCCGCGUGAGUGAAGAAGGCCUUCGGGUUGUAAAGCUCUUUCGCAAGGGAAGAAAACUUAUCCUCUAACAUAGGAUGAGGUUGACGGU
rnacentral:rRNA from 1 species